rnacentral:rRNA from 1 species
UUUGACUGGGCUACUCCGGGAACCGGGGCUAAUACCGGAUGGUUGUUUGAACCGCAGGUUCAAACAUAAAAGGUGGCUUCGGCUACCACUUACAGAUGGACCCGCGGCGCAUAGCUAGUUGGUGAGGUAACGGCUCACCAAGGCAACGAUGCGUAGCCGACCUGAGAGGGUGAUCGGCCACACUGGGACUGAGACACGGCCCAGACUCCUACGGGAGGCAGCAGUAGGGAAUCUUCCGCAAUGGACGAAAGUCUGACGGAGCAACGCCGCGUGAGUGAUGAAGGUUUUCGGAUCGUAAAGCUCUGUUGUUAGGGAAGAACAAGUACCGUUCGAAUAGGGCGGUACCUUGACGGUACCUAACCAGAAAGCCACGGCUAACUACGUGCCAGCAGCCGCGGUAAUACGUAGGUGGCAAGCGUUGUCCGGAAUUAUUGGGCGUAAAGGGCUCGCAGGCGGUUUCUUAAGUCUGAUGUGAAAGCCCCCGGCUCAACCGGGGAGGGUCAUUGGAAACUGGGGAACUUGAGUGCAGAAGAGGAGAGUGGAAUUCCACGUGUAGCGGUGAAAUGCGUAGAGAUGUGGAGGAACACCAGUGGCGAAGGCGACUCUCUGGUCUGUAACUGACGCUGAGGAGCGAAAGCGUGGGGAGCGAACAGGAUUAGAUACCCUGGUAGUCCACGCCGUAAACGAUGAGUGCUAAGUGUUAGGGGGUUUCCGCCCCUUAGUGCUGCAGCUAACGCAUUAAGCACUCCGCCUGGGGAGUACGGUCGCAAGACUGAAACUCAAAGGAAUUGACGGGGGCCCGCACAAGCGGUGGAGCAUGUGGUUUAAUUCGAAGCAACGCGAAGAACCUUACCAGGUCUUGACAUCCUCUGACAAUCCUAGAGAUAGGACGUCCCCUUCGGGGGCAGAGUGACAGGUGGUGCAUGGUUGUCGUCAGCUCGUGUCGUGAGAUGUUGGGUUAAGUCCCGCAACGAGCGCAACCCUUGAUCUUAGUUGCCAGCAUUCAGUUGGGCACUCUAAGGUGACUGCCGGUGACAAACCGGAGGAAAGGUGGGGAUGACGUCAAAUCAUCAUGCCCCUUAUGACCUGGGCUACACACGUGCUACAAUGGACAGAACAAAGGGCACCGAAACCCCGAGGUUA